AUGGCUUCUCAAUCUCAAACUAAACUCACCGUUUCAACAUCACCCAAAAGCGACAGUGGAAUCGGCGAUCUAACUCCCAAAGGACAACAGUGUCUAUGUUCUCCAACCACACACGAAGGAUCUUUCAGAUGUCGCUUUCAUCGUUCAGGGACAUUUUCGUCAUCUACUCCUCCAUCCUGGAUCAAAAGGACCAAAUCUAUGCCUCCUAAUCAUAAAUCUGUUGUUAAUGUUUCUGUUUCUGAGUGA